rnacentral:rRNA from 1 species
AUGCACGCUGGCGGCGUGCCUCAUACCUGCCAGUCGAGCGAACGGACGAGAAGCUUGCUUCUCUGAUGUUAGCGGCGGACGGGUGAGUAACACGUGGAUAACCUACCUAUAAGACUGGGAUAACUUCGGGAAACCGGAGCUAAUACCGGAUAAUAUUUUGAACCGCAUGGUUCAAAAGUGAAAGACGGUCUUGCUGUCACUUAUAGAUGGAUCCGCGCUGCAUUAGCUAGUUGGUAAGGUAACGGCUUACCAAGGCAACGAUGCAUAGCCGACCUGAGAGGGUGAUCGGCCACACUGGAGCUGAGACACGGUCCAGACUCCUACGGGAGGCAGCAGUAGGGAAUCUUCCGCAAUGGGCGAAAGCCUGACGGAGCAACGCCGCGUGAGUGAUGAAGGUCUUCGGAUCGUAAAACUCUGUUAUUAGGGAAGAACAUAUGUGUAAGUAACUGUGCACAUCUUGACGGUACCUAAUCAGAAAGCCACGGCUAACUACGUG